UACGAGGGGGCAAAUGUUGUUCGGAAUCACUGGGCGUAAAGGGAGCGUAGGCGGGUUUCUAAGUCAGGUGUUUAAUCCCGGGGCCCAACCCCGGACAGGCACUUGAAACUGGGAAUCUUGAAUAGUGGAGAGGUCAGUGGAAUUGGGGGUGUAGCGGUGGAAUGCGUAGAGAUCCCCAAGAACACCAGUUGCGAAGGCGGCUGACUGGCACAUAUUGACGCUGAGGCUCGAAAGCAUGGGGAGCAACAGG
rnacentral:rRNA from 1 species